UACGUAGGUGGCAAGCGUUGUCCGGAAUUAUUGGGCGUAAAGCGCGCGCAGGCGGUCCCUUAAGUCUGAUGUGAAAGCCCACGGCUCAACCGUGGAGGGUCAUUGGAAACUGGGGGACUUGAGUGCAGAAGAGGAAAGUGGAAUUCCAUGUGUAGCGGUGAAAUGCGUAGAGAUGUGGAGGAACACCAGUGGCGAAGGCGACUUUCUGGUCUGUAACUGACGCUGAGGCGCGAAAGCGUGGGGAGCAAACAGGAUUAGAAACCGUGUAGUCC
rnacentral:rRNA from 1 species